rnacentral:rRNA from 1 species
AGUGAACGCUGGCGGUAGGCCUAACACAUGCAAGUCGAACGGCAGCACAGUAAGAGCUUGCUCUUACGGGUGGCGAGUGGCGGACGGGUGAGGACUACAUCGGAAUCUACUUUUUCGUGGGGGAUAACGUCGGGAAACUUACGCUAAUACCGCAUACGACCUACGGGUGACAGCAGGGGAUCUUCGGACCUUGCGUGUCUGAAUGAGCCGAUGUCGGGUUAGCUAGUUGGCGGGGUAAAGGCCCACCAAGGCGACGAUCCGUAGCUGGUCUGAGAGGAUGAUCAGCCACACUGGAACUGAGACACGGUCCAGACUCCUACGGGAGGCAGCAGUGGGGAAUAUUGGACAAUGGGCGCAAGCCUGAUCCAGCCAUACCGCGUGGGUGAAGAAGGCCUUCGGGUUGUAAAGCCCUUUUGUCGGGAAAGAAAAGCAGCAGGUUAAUACCCCGCUGUUCUGACGGUACCCAAAGAAUAAGCACCGGCUAACUUCGUG